CCAUGGUAUCAAGACCAAACAAACCUUAAUAUAUAGGGAAUCCAAGGGUACAGUCGAAGGAGACACUGUCUUCCAGCAACUGGGCGAUGUGUUGGCAGAGCCUUGUCAGAUUGAACACUGGUCCUAAACUGGGAUUCAUAGGUGGUCAGAGCAGACUUCGUGUAAAAGCGUGGCUGGUGGAUAAUAGAGCUGGUGGCCCUCUAGAGCCACGAGGAAGAGAACAGGUUUGGGAAAUUUCGCACAGCCAAGAGUUUGGUAGGAAUUGUUAGGAAGUCAGGCAGCAAUUCCUCCAGAUUAAUAAGAAGCGAGCCUUAGCUACUCUAAGCAGUGUUAACAGCUGUUUGUGGGGCCUAGAGAGAUUGCUUAGCAAUGAAGAGUGCUUGCUGAAUUUGCAAAGCAUCUGAAUUUGGUUCCUCACUCCAGCAUCCAGUAGCUAACAACUAGCUCCAGCUCCGGCUCCAGCGGCUGCCUCUGAGGGCGUAUAUGUAUAUGUAUAUGUAUAUGUAUAUGUAUAUGUAUAUGUAUAUAUACAUACAUAUAUAUGUAUAUAUACACACACAUACAUACACACACAUAUAUAUGUAUAUAUAUACAUAUAUAUACACAUAUAUAUACAUAUAUAUAUAUAUACAUAUAUAUAUACAUAUAUAUAUACAUAUAUAUAUAUGGUCUAUGUUUUCAGAAAGUAUAGAGACAAAGGUUCUUGGGGGAAAGUGCUCUUGUGUGUGUGUGUGCGAGAUGUGUCUGUGUAACAGGGUUCUGUGUUGCUCAAACUGACAUUGUACUUGCAUUAUUGAGUGCCUGGUGUGGUGGUUUGAAUAGGAAUGCCCCCCCCCCCCGACUUGUGGAUUUUAAAACCUGGUCACCAGGGCAUGCCACCAUUUGAAAGGAUUAGGAGAUGUUGGAGGAAGUGUGUCAAUGGAGGUAGGUUCUGAGGGCUCAAGGACCCAAGUUAGGCCCAGCAUCUUUUUCUUCCUACUGCCUGUGGAUCUGGCUGUAGAACUCUGAGGGUCUUCUCUAGCACCACGGCUGCUUAUAUGUCACCACGCUACCUCCUAUGACCACAAUGGACUACACCUCUGAAACUGCUAUUGUAAAUAGAACAGCAAUAAACGUGAAAGAAAGAAAGAAAGAAAGAAAGAAAGAAAGAAAGAAAGAAAGAAAGAAACAAAGAAAGAAACAAAAGACAGGGAGAUCUCUGAGUUCAAGGCCAUCUGGGAUUAAAGGCGUGGUGGCACACACCUUUAAUCUGGGCCACGCCUUCUGCUGGAGACCUACAUAAGGACAUUGGAAGAAGGAAGGCUCUUUCUCUCUCUUUUGCCAGCUUGCCUUGUGGGACUGAGCAACUGCUAGAUCCUUGGACUUCCAUUCACAGCUGCUGCUGACCAUUGUUGGGAGUUGGACUACAGACUAGAUGCUACACACUGAGUGAAUCACUUUGCUGGUUUCAGGAGAGAUCCCAGCCAAGAGGAGUGAAUACCACUCACAGGGGCAAAGGCAAGUGACCUGCUUGGAGAAACAGUCCACCUGCCCCGAGGAGAGCCGAACACCUUCACACCUUUUUCCUCUUCAUCCAAAGACUAAAAACUAGAUCCAGUCCCUCCCAAAGGCAAAGGAAGAUGGAAGACUAUCAAGUGGAUGAAGUUUCCCAGCCUGCAAACUCAUCAUAGCCUUGGCCUAGCAUCUUACCCAUCCUCCCUCCUCCAUCAUCUGAUGUAGGACUUGCUAUAAAUUGAUGCCUCCUACCUGUCAAUGCAAGAGAAGAUAGCACCCAGUGAAGCACCUUUCUGUUUUAGUUUGACAAUAAAUCUAUUCUGUCUC
rnacentral:lncRNA from 1 species